rnacentral:tRNA from 1 species
GCUUAGAUAGUUUAGUUAAAAUUUCAAUUUGUGGAAUUGAAGACGCGUUUGCUCUGGGUA